rnacentral:rRNA from 1 species
GACGAACGCUGGCGGCGUGCUUAACACAUGCAAGUCGAACGGAAAGGCCCUGCUUUUGUGGGGUGCUCGAGUGGCGAACGGGUGUGUAACACGUGAGUAACCUGCCCUUGACUUUGGGAUAACUUCAGGAAACUGGGGCUCAUAUCGGAUAUGAGCUCCUGCUGCAUGGUGUGGGUUGGAAAGUUUCGGCGUUUCGGGAUGGACUCGCGGCUUAUCAGCUUGUUGGUGGGGUAGUGGCUUACCAAGGCUUUGACGGGUAGCCGGCCUGGGAGGGUGACCGGCCAAAGUGGGACUGGGAUGCGGCCCAGAGGAAUACGGGAGGAAGGAGGGGAGAAUAUUGCACAAAGGGCGGAAGCCUGAAGCAGGAACGCCGAGUGGGGAACGACGGCCUUAGGGUAGGAAACCGCUUUCGCCUGAGACGAAGCGUGGGGGAGGGAAAUGGGUAAAGAAGCACGGGCAAAUUAGGG